UACAGAGGGGGCAAGCGUUAUUCGGAAUUAUUGGGCGUAAAGGGCGCGUAGGCGGCUUGGCAAGUGGAAGGUGAAAUCCCUCGGCUUAACCGAGGAACUGCCCUCCAAACUGCUUCGCUUGAGACCGGGAGAGGUGAGUGGAAUUCCCAGUGUAGCGGUGAAAUGCGUAGAUAUUGGGAGGAACACCAGUGGCGAAGGCGGCGCACUGGACCGGUACUGACGCUGAUGCGCGAAAGCGUGGGGAGCAAACGGG
rnacentral:rRNA from 1 species